AUUGAACGCUGGCGGCAUGCCUUACACAUGCAAGUCGAACGGUAACAGGUCUUCGGAUGCUGACGAGUGGCGAACGGGUGAGUAAUACAUCGGAACGUGCCUAGUAGUGGGGGAUAACUACUCGAAAGAGUGGCUAAUACCGCAUGAGAUCUACGGAUGAAAGCAGGGGAUCGCAAGACCUUGUGCUACUAGAGCGGCCGAUGGAAGAUUAGGUAGUUGGUGGGAUGAAAGCUUACCAAGCCGACGAUCUGUAGCUGGUCUGAGAGGACGAUCAGCCACACUGGGACUGAGACACGGCCCAGACUCCUACGGGAGGCAGCAGUGGGGAAUUUUGGGCAAUGGGCGCAAGCCUGAUCCAGCAAUGCCGCGUGCAGGAUGAAGGCCUUCGGGUUGUAAACUGCUUUUGUACGGAACGAAAAGCCCCGGGUUAAUACCCUGGGGUCAUGACGGUACCGUAAGAAUAAGCACCGGCUAACUACGUGCCAGCAGCCGCCGUAA
rnacentral:rRNA from 1 species